GAUGAAGAACGUAGCGAAAUGCGAUACUUGGUGUGAAUUGCAGAAUCCCGUGAACCAUCGAGUCUUUGAACGCAAGUUGCGCCCGAAGCCAUUAGGCCGAGGGCACGCCUGCCUGGGCGUCACACGUCGUUGCCCCCCCAUCUACUCCUUCGGGAUUGCCGGGGGCGGAUGAUGGCCUCCCGUGCGCCUCGCCGCGCGGUUGGCAUAAAUGCCAAGUCCUCGGCGACGCACGCCACGACAAUCGGUGGUUGCGAAACCUCGGUUGCCCGUCGUGUGCGGUCGUCGCGCAUCGAGGGCUCGAAAAAAUUGCCGGGUUCCGGCUCGGCUUUCAACGCGACCCCAGGUCAGGCGGGGUUACCCGCUGAAUUUAAGCAUAUCAAUAAGCGGAGGA
rnacentral:misc_RNA from 1 species